rnacentral:rRNA from 1 species
AGUAACGGCGAGUGAAGCGGCAAAAGCUCAAAUUUGAAAUCUGGUACCUUCGGUGCCCGAGUUGUAAUUUGGAGAGGGCAACUUUGGGGCCGUUCCUUGUCUAUGUUCCUUGGAACAGGACGUCAUAGAGGGUGAGAAUCCCGUGUGGCGAGGAGUGCGGUUCUUUGUAAAGUGCCUUCGAAGAGUCGAGUUGUUUGGGAAUGCAGCUCUAAGUGGGUGGUAAAUUCCAUCUAAAGCUAAAUAUUGGCGAGAGACCGAUAGCGAACAAGUACAGUGAUGGAAAGAUGAAAAGAACUUUGAAAAGAGAGUGAAAAAGUACGUGAAAUUGUUGAAAGGGAAGGGCAUUUGAUCAGACAUGGUGUUUUGUGCCCUCUGCUCCUUGUGGGUAGGGGAAUCUCGCAUUUCACUGGGCCAGCAUCAGUUUUGGUGGCAGGAUAAAUCCAUAGGAAUGUAGCUUGCCUCGGUAAGUAUUAUAGCCUGUGGGAAUACUGCCAGCUGGGACUGAGGACUGCGACGUAAGUCAAGGAUGCUGGCAUAAUGGUUAUAUGCCGCCCGUCUUGAAACACGGACCUCC